AUGUUCUAAAUGUACCUUAAAUUAAUACUUGCUCUGUUUCCUCACGGACUGUUUUAAUUGCCGGAUCUGUGCAUCAUGGCUGAUUUUGGUGGCUGUUUGAGACCUGGCGCAUCAUCCGUAGUUUUCCUCUAAAAGAGCUGUUUGGACUGAAGUGCACCUCUGUGAGACCCAUGAGGAGGAGGAGGCUGUGUUAUCUGUGUUAUAUAACCUGCCUUAUUCAAGAACACUGGAGAAAAAUCGCCAGAUAUUAUUAAUGUGAACAAUUAAACAAUUAAAAUAGAUUGGAAGUGUAAUUUCCAGAUGGCUUGUGGAUUCAAAUUGGACCCGCGCACGCGCAGUGAUCGAGUGUGGGGGAGGGGACAGUACGCACGCGCAGUGAUCGAGUGCGGGGGAGGGGAGAGUACGCAUGCGCAGUGCACAUCCGGCGGUGAUGUAAUGCUCAACAAUGCUGAAGGUGAAAAUUUCGAGUCGAAGGCGACAGAAAGACGUCGACUCACGGACUUGUGAACAAAGCAGUACUGGAUUUCCGACUUUCUUUUUUUAAAUUGUCUAUAUAAGGAUUAAUUUAAACAAAUUAGCGUUUUCAACGGCUGUGUUUUUUUUAAUCUGCGGAUAUUUACUGGAUGAACACCGGAAACUAUUUUUUUCCCUUUUCAACGUCGAUAAAGGUUCUUUAAAGCUUAUUCUAAUAUGGUUAAAUGUCUUUUCAUGUAACCCCACCCGAUAAAGUCUGUUCCUGUAAUUAAUUAAAAAAAGACGUUGCCCUUGAACAGUAAUGGCCAUCUUUUUUUUGUUCUCCUUGUUGGCUCAUUGACGUCACAAAAAUCCCCGUAUGUGGGCAGUCAGAGCUGCUAGGGGAAAGAGGCGCGCCCGGAGAUUCGUCGAGGGGACUGCGCAUGCGCAAUUCAGAAAGCGAGCAGGGUUUUUUUCCACCCUGAGAACUUUUGGCUUCGAAACCUUAUAAUGAAAUUAUUCACAUUUUAUCAAAGGCAUAACAUUAAAUACAUUUUCUCAGUAAAUCUGUUGACCGCUCAGUUUUCAGUGUUCGCUUUGUGAACGACGUUUCGGGUGUCCAAUCAGCGAGCGGCUCGUGAUGCGUUCAGCCAAUCAGAGCGCGAGAGGAACGUGGGCGGUUAAAGAAGACUGUAGUGACGGGACGCCAUUAAAGGGUUUCACCGUGCGCGCUUUAAAAACGUGCCGAGUUUCGUUAAAGAUGAUUAUUAAAAUUAUAUUUAAAAUGUUUUCAUUUCAUACUAACACUUGUACAUGCAGAUUUUAGUUUAAACGGUCAGGAGCGCGCUGUGGGCGUGAACGAGCCCAGAAAAUGGCCGCCGUCGCCUUUUGUUCAGGGAAAUGACCUGUGCUGUCGAUUUAGAGAUUUAACUCUAAUUCCAAUUUAAUUUGUAAAAACACGACAUUUUUCUUCACUCGUUUAAAGCCGCAUCCGUGUUCCGGACGUGACAUGACGUGGCGCUGCGUCUUUUUUUGAACCGCAUCGGUUUUAACCGCGUAUGUUCUAGAAAGUAAACCCGGAAGUGCGAUUAACAAACCAGCCAAUCAGAGUACAGAACCGAGUUUCUAGCUUUUAUUGUGCGUAUAAACGUAUAGAAAUGAACACGUGUACAGUUUGAAAAUGUUUUUUACACUUUCUUGUGUGAAAGUGACCUGGUGUACCCUAUCCCAGCAGCAGUCUUUCUAACCUUCAUUGUGUUUAAAAGCUGUGAAUUUAAUUGCAUUUCACUUCUGCACCAAUGUCGCAAAUCUCCAUAAUGCAUUUUUUUCACUUUGGAAGUGUAGAAAUGGAGAAUGAGUGUGUUCAUAAAGUUCAUAUGAGUUAUACUUCUACAAAAUAUGGACUCUCCAAUCAUCUUCGGCAUCCUGUGCUACCGGUCCGCGAUCUUGGUUAAAGUCCAUAUCGUUUUCCAUCGCAAUGAUCUGGUCCAAGCAGAAGAACCAUGUAACUAGCUUUUGCUGCUGCAUGAUGAAUGUCUGGGGAUUUUCCUCCACAAACAGGAAGUUUCAGUACCCAGACCUUGUCUCCGCUAUAAGACCAAUGGCACGCGGUGAAAAUCCUCCUGUUCCAAAACCUUCAGAGGUUCCAGUGGACACUAGAGGAUGAGAACGAGGAGGCAGAGAUGGAAGAGCCUGUGCAGAUGGAAGCUGUUGCAGAUCCAGAUUUCAAACCAUUAACCUACAGCAAGCUUCUCUUCAUUUCUGAGGUAGACCUCAAAGAUCUUGUUAGAGAUUUGGAUUUAUGGGAAAAAAAGCCAAUCAGAGCUGCUUGAAAAGGAUUGAGGUUGAAAGGAUGGAACCUGUCCUCAGGUACAGAAAUAUCAGUUAUUCUCCACAGUCCUAAACAUUAGACUAAAUUCUUCAGACAAGUUGACAGUCUGAACGUUUGCAGUGACAUCGGCAGAUCGCCUUCUGCCCUCGCUACGUGAACAUGAUUCAACGGAAUGCCGACUGAUUGCUGACUCAUCGUUAAGUUUGAAGGCGGUUUUGCUGUGCAUUGGUAAUAUCUACACUUCCGUACAUGUGGGACAUCUCUGGUGAUCUAAAGGUGACUGCAGUUUUACUGGGUCUGCAGAUUGGCUACACCAUCUACUGAAGUUCUUUGCAUUGGAUUUACUUUACACUGGCCACCUCUGAGGAAAUCAGUUCCUGCUUUGCGCAUCAAACUUGGGCUGAUGAACAACUUUAAGGCUGUGAAGCUUUUGCUUACUUUAAACAGAUGUUUCCAUGCAGCAGUUAUGCCAAGAUAAAAGAUCUCUUCGUUGGCCUGCAGAUCCAACCAGUGAUUAACUACAGUCACUCGAACUUUCCAACUUUAUGGGCAGCUUAAGGGCCCAAAACUACGGCAGCUAGGUUGAUCCAUUUUCUUUAUUCCCAGCCAACAUCUGUGCCGUGAGCAACGAAACCGUGAAAGCUUUUACGCAGACAUCGACGACAUGGAGAAACUAAACUCUCAGAGAAUUGUUGGAUGCUGAUGCUGAAGACUAGAAAUGUUCUGCUGCAGAUUUCUCUUGUUGGGAAAAAAAACAACAGAGGAAACACAUUUUUCAUAAAAUUUGUUACACAUCACCCACAGUCUCAGACAGUUUUAUGUUCAUCUUCAGAAGCUAUACAGUAUCUCAUCCUUCAUAUUUCUGAAGAGCUUUUAGUUUAAUCAGAUAAAAGAAAGCUUCAGCGUUGGGCUUCUCUCUGAAAACUGUGACUUCACUAAGAAGUAAAUAAAAUGGACGUUUUUUAGGGUAAAUGAACUCUGGGUAACAAUCAGAUCCAGACUUGAUCCCAAAUCGGAUCCCGUGUCUGAAACUGAACACCAAGAACAAAAGCGAUGACUAUAGUAGGACUUGUCUAUAUGGUAAGUAUUGAACAUGGUUCUCCUCUUCUUUGGAGACUUUCUCCUUGAGCGACCAUAUGAAGCAUGGUGGUGGGUGUGCUUUUGCUCCUGAUUGAUGUUUCCGUAUGAGGAAUUUCCCCCAUGACAUCAUAAAGAUCCAGAAAAAAUAAAACUUUUUGUUUUUCUACUCCGUCAUGCAUCCGAAUCGUUUCUUGAAACUGGGGAGAUGUUUAGAGUGAGAAUCUAACUCGCACUCGAUUAUUUAAAUGCACUGGGGGGAAAAAACUCAUAAAAAAAAAUCACCAAAAUACCAUUUAUUGGAUUUCUGACGUUUUCCAGUGUGUCGAACUGUGGAAUUUAAUCAAUAACGUUUUUUUUUUCUGAUUACAAUCGAUUUAUUAAUAUUAUUGCUAUUUACUUCCUGAGCUGUGAUCAGAAAUGUACUUUGGGAAAUAAAAAACAAAAACCUA